rnacentral:lncRNA from 1 species
GGAGCUUAACAAUGUUAGGAUGAUCACAGGAUGCCAAAAUAUCGAUCUCUACCAUGUAAUCUUCAAGUUCUUCUUCUGAUUUCGUAUCAAUCACCUUUGCAGCAGCCAGCACUUUGGUUUCUUUGUUCUGAGCCUUGAACACUUUACCGAAAGCCCCAUCGCCCAGCUCUCCUAUGAUCUCCCAGAACUCCUCCGGGUUCAGGUCCCUCUUGACGUGCUCGUACUGCUUCUUCUUCUUCUCGCCGCCCAGCUUGAAGAUCUUCCGAAAGUUAAAGAAAGACAUCUUUCCUCCCGCCGCGGGGCCGGCCUGCAGGCGGCGGUGGGGGGCAGCCGGCGGGGUCCCUCAGCGCGCCUUUCCCGGCCGGGCCGCUCGCAGCCGGGGCCGCCUGGCGCCGCGGGCGCUGCCCUCACAGCCGCUCCGGGGGAUAAGCCGAGCCGAGCCGAGGCGCCAGGAGAGGGCCGCGCUCAGCACCUACUGAGCGGCAACGGCCGGGCUCCCGGUGCCCAUCGCGUCGGCAACAAGUGCCGGGCUGGGCGCCCGGCACCGAGCGUGAGAAGAGGGGCC